CGGAACGUACUCUUCGUAGUUCUACUUACCACAAAUUAUAAUUUUCAAUACAGUUUUACAAUAUUCAUAAAGGAAAAUGAAUUGAAACAGUUCUUGAACACAAAUGAACCCAUAUGGACAUACAACCCAACCAUCAAAUCGCACAACCAUUGGUGUGUGGUAGAUACGACAAAAGUGUUACAGGGAGAAAAUAUUAAGUACCAACAUAUGUACUACGUCAAGUUCCCUCUAAAGGAUAAGGUUUCCGUUGAAAUGGAAGGUUCCUUUCAAUACAAAAAUAACUUGGUUACCAGCAAAUGUGGUUCGAAAGCGUUCUUUAAACACCAUCUUGUAUAUCUUGAUUCGGACUACGUGUGUGCAAUCAUCCGGGUUUCACCGAUGUUUACCAGUAAACUGAAGCCUUGGUACGAGCUGCGAGUACGGAACCCGUUCCUUAUAAGAUAUCGCCGUCCUUCGAUCACUUGCCAACACUAUUUCAACCUCGAAGCAAAGCAAGGACGUCUUAUUUA